rnacentral:lncRNA from 1 species
AUGACAGGUCAUGGAUAAAUCGUCAAACCUCAACAUCGGUUAUAUGAUAGAUUCAAUCAGCUUAAGUCUAUAUGUGAUUCUAUGAAAAUUCUUUUCCAUCAAUCACACUGCUAUCAUCAUAAGCUUAAGGACUCAGCCUCUUAAAUUUCAUAGGACUACUUCCUUCUACUAGGAUCAAUAGAUUCCAUCUUGAUGCACACCCCACUUCUAUAGUGGAUCAACUUUCGUCAACAUCUACUACAAGGGCUCUUUGAGACUCAUAUUAAUGUGUCAGUCAAACUCCA